rnacentral:rRNA from 1 species
UACGUAGGGGCCAAGCGUUGUCCGGAUUUACUGGGCGUAAAGGGCGCGUAGGCGGCAAUUCAAGUCAGCUGUGAAAUCUCCGGGCUUAACUCGGAACGGUCAGCUGAUACUGCUUUGCUAGAGUGCAGAAGGGGCAAUCGGAAUUCUUGGUGUAGCGGUGAAAUGCGUAGAUAUCAAGAGGAACACCUGAGGUGAAGACGGGUUGCUGGGCUGACACUGACGCUGAGGCGCGAAAGCUAGGGUAGCAAACGGG